UGUGGCCUUCUUGGAGGGAGUAUGUCACUGGGGGUAGGCUUUGAGAUUUCAGAAGCUCAAGACAGGCCCAGUGUCACUCUUUCUUCCUGCUGCCUGCCAAUCC
rnacentral:miRNA from 14 species